AAAUUAAAAAAUUUUUAAAGUUUAGUUUUACACAUUUAUAUCAUAGAAUUUACAUUAGCCAAAUAUAAAUAAAGGAGUGAAAGAGUCAAACAAAUACAUUAACUUUUUUAAAAUUUUUACUUCAAAGAUUUUUUUAAGGUAUGCAAAGAUAUAAUAAAAUAAUUCUUCUUAGAUAUCAACAUCUUGAAUAUGAAUUACAAACGAUUAUUUGCCAUAUCUUUGGUCAUGAUGAUAUUAUUAAAUGUUAUGAUUGAAGCUGAUAUAUACCCGCAUCCUGCAGAGCCUGAUGAUGAAGAAGGAAGGCCCGGAUUUGUUGAUAGAUUAUGCCAUGGUGUGAGAUGCCAUCUUUUCUGUCAUAGAUAUAGACGUAGAAACGGAUGCUUAUAUUGCGCUUGCUGGAGCCAAGACAAAAUUUUUUAAUAAAUUAUUUUAAUAUAAAAUUUACAUAUAAAAAAACAUGUUUAUAACCAAUUUUUUUUAUCAUUUUUAUAUCUAAUAUAUAUUACUUGAAAACAAUCUUAUAAGAGCAUUAAAAAGAAUUUAUUUGUGAAAUUCUGAAUUUAUUAUAAUAAAAAUCAUCGUAGCCCUUAAAUAAUAUGAGACAUUGCUAAAAUAUGAUCAUACAAUUUUAAAUAAACCUAAACAAAUACUUUUA